rnacentral:rRNA from 1 species
UACGUAGGGUGCAAGCGUUAAUCGGAAUUACUGGGCGUAAAGCGUGCGCAGGCGGUUAUAUAAGACAGAUGUGAAAUCCCCGGGCUCAACCUGGGAACUGCAUUUGUGACUGUAUAGCUAGAGUACGGUAGAGGGGGAUGGAAUUCCGCGUGUAGCAAUGAAAUGCGUAGAUAUGCGGAGGAACACCGAUGGCGAAGGCAAUCCCCUGGACCUGUACUGACGCUCAUGCACGAAAGCGUGGGGAGCAAACAGG